AUUGAACGCUGGCGGCAGGCCUAACACAUGCAAGUCGAACGAGUGGCGGACGGGUGAGUAAUGUCUGGGGAACUGCCCGCUGUGGGGGGGUAACUCCUUGAAACGGUAGCUAAAACCCCAUACCCUCUGAUUUGCACAGAUGGGAUUAGCUUGUUGGUUAGGUGACGGCUCACCUAGGCGACGAUCCCUAUCUGGUUUGAGAGGAUGACCAGCCACACUGGAACUGAGACACGGUCCAGACUCCGACGGGAGGCAGCAGUGGGGAAUAUUGCACAAUGGGCGCAAGCCUGAUGCAGCCAUGCCGCGUGUAUGAAGAAGGCCUUCGGGUUGUAAAGUACUUUCAGCGGGGAGGCGUUACCCGCAGAAGAAGCACCGGCUAACUCCGUGCCAGCAGCCGCGGUAAUUC
rnacentral:rRNA from 1 species